CACUAACUCACCGUCAUGUUUCUCCAUGAUUUUGUAUUCCUAAUAUCCAAUAUAUUGCUUGCUGGACCCAAUAUGUUAAGAUUGUUAUCAGAAAUAUUUAGAUGAACGAUUUGUUGGAGUAUUCUGGCUAUAAUAGUAAUAUUUUGUGGGUCUAUUCCUUUUUCUCUUUGUUCUUUGUCCAUCUUAUCAAAGUUUGUUACGUUUAACAGAUCGUCGAUAACUUUUGUAGCAACCUUUUUUCGGACUUCAUCUGAUACAUUUUUACGAUAGAGAUCAUCGACCUGAAAAUUAAGGAGGUAGGUAAUCUUCGAGUCAAGCCCUUCGAGUUAAGCCUUUCGAGUUAAGCCCCAACCACGCCCAAACCACGCC